rnacentral:sRNA from 4 species
CGUUGCCGUAGGCAACGACCCGAAGGGCGAAGCGCGCAGCGCUGAGUAAUCCUUCCCCCGUCAUCC